UGGAUGGAGUAGAUGCCAGGAUGGGCUCCGGGGGAGGCCGGCACCCCCAUGAAGCCGGCCACAUUCCCAUGAGUGUGGGAGUAUGGAGACAUGCACGGGGAGGGCAUGCCCUCCGGAGACACGAGGCAGGGUCCCGCGGGUCUCCCAGACCCUGGACUGGGCCACAGGGAGUUCUGCAGCUGAAAAGAGAAGGAGGCCCAUGGGUUAGUAACCCAGGGGCUGCCACCCUCACCUAAGGGUUCUGUCUUUGCUCCUGGGGCUCCAGAAACCUACCAGGAAACCUCCACUUGGCCCAGGUCUAGAAUCUGCUCCCUCCUACCCCCAACACUCGAAAUGGCAUACUCAGGAGACCCCUGCCGUGGCUCCUCCAGAUGAGGUUUUCUCCAGUGCUUCCUUCGUGCCAGCUGCUGCUCUGCAUGCCCCACUCACGAGACAGAAGAGCCCCAUUUUGCAGAGCAGAAGUG
rnacentral:lncRNA from 1 species